UGGCAAUGAUGACAAAAAGGCCGGACUUACGGCUGCUCUCUAAUAGAUGUAGUAGAUUGAUGAAACAGUCUUUAAGGUAUAUUCUGAGCCAG